ensembl:snRNA U6 U6 spliceosomal RNA
GUGCUCGCUCUAGCAGCACAUUUACUAAAAUUGGUACUACACAGAGAUUAACCAGGUCCCUGCACAAGGAUGACAUGCAAAUUCAUGAAGUGUGACACAUUUUU